rnacentral:rRNA from 1 species
GAAUAUUGGACAAUGGGCGAAAGCCUGAUCCAGCCAUGCCGCGUGUGUGAAGAAGGUCUUCGGAUUGUAAAGCACUUUAAGUUGGGAGGAAGGGCAUUAACCUAAUACGUUGGUGUCUUGACGUUACCGACAGAAUAAGCACCGGCUAACUCUGUGCCAGCAGCCGCGGUAAUACAGAGGGUGCAAGCGUUAAUCGGAAUUACUGGGCGUAAAGCGCGCGUAGGUGGUUUGUUAAGUUGAAUGUGAAAUCCCCGGGCUCAACCUGGGAACUGCAUCCAAAACUGGCAAGCUAGAGUAUGGUAGAGGGUAGUGGAAUUUCCUGUGUAGCGGUGAAAUGCGUAGAUAUAGGAAGGAACACCAGUGGCGAAGGCGACUACCUGGACUGAUACUGACACUGAGGUGCGAAAGCGUGGGGAGCAAA